ACACAACGUUCACUCAGUAUUACAGGGUCUCCCUUUGCUUUGUAUUUGUUGCUGUUGUUGAAUUAAGUUAACGUUACUCUCCUUUGGUGAAUUUAACAGGUGCAUGUCUAGGAUUUAGUUAAGCGACGCACGACUGUACGCCCAUAGCUACAUUAUAGUGGAGAAAGAUGCAAGGUGAUAUUGUGAACAUCGGAAAACAAGAAACCUGAAGUUUUUGCUGGCACUGACAUCCUGCAUGCUUGAACCCUCUGCGUGAGCACUGCUUGAACCUCAGUUGACCUGGUCACAGAUCCAUCUGGCGAGGAGAGGGAAAGAGAGGUGAUGUGCCCUUUGACCUUUCGAAGGAGAGGGAAGCAGCUCCAUAUCUCAUGCACCUCAGACAGCCUUGUUUGAUCUGGACUCACCUCAGUUCACACGUCUCUGCUUCUGGCACCAACUUACCAAGAAGGGGCUCUGCUCUAAUUUCACACCACCCACGAAAUAUCUGCAUGAAGCCCACCUGCAUAGGAAUGACAAAAGGGACCACAAAGAUUAAAUGCAGGGUUUCCAUGGAAACCAGCUGAAGGCUGACUGCUCCGACUUUAAGUGCCUGCAAAGACAUUACAGUCAGUGGAUGAGCACUGAGGCUUUCCUCUUUUAGGCGUUAUGUAGCGGGACUUGAAUUAUACUUUGCACAAAUGCCUUAAUUUUUGCCUUAAAAGAUGCUGUGAUGACCCAAAAUUUGUCAGAAAGUCAGCUCAGAAUGGCAGCUGAACACUCAGAGAAAAUAACAUUGCCGAAGUCUAGUCAUUGUGCAAGGUCCAACAUCACAUCGCAUUACGACACUGUUAAUAUUUGAGUUUGAUUAAGCUUAAUGAAAGCCACGUGACUAUCAGUUGUGACCAUAAUGGUGGUCUCAAAAAAUAUAUAAUAAAUUAUUGCUCCAAAAAAAUAUUGGAAUCUCCAUGGUGAAAGGAUGGGGUCUUUAAUGCGAAACCACCAGUGAUGUUUUUGGGAU